rnacentral:snRNA from 1 species
GAAUGUGAGGGUGAUCUGGCUGCAACAUCUGUCACUCCAUUGAUCAUCAGGGUUAAUUCGGUGGAUCUGGCUGGCUGGGCAGGUGUCCUCUUCCUCCCUCACUGCUCCAUGUGUGUCCAUCCCGAAGCUGCAUGGUCAGUUGAAGAGGAUGACCUUUCCUGAAUAGAGAAGGACUGUUCUUCAGUCAAGGAUACACCAGUAGGUGUGCUCUCCUACUAGAACCUCCAAAAAAGCUCCCAAGGUCCAUUUGCAGGAGAACAUAGGGAGUCAAAUUUAUAAGACUCCACACACAUACAAAUGAGCUGCUGCAUGUAGCAGUCUUCCUU